rnacentral:lncRNA from 1 species
CAGCAUCCUAUGAUUAAUUCUUGCUUCAUUGCUGCUGCCAAUAGGUGUUGACUAAAAACCUUUUCUUCCAUGCAUCAUUAGAAAAAUAUACAUUUCUUUAUCUUCCGAAAAUGUACACUGACAAGUCCACAUCCAAUGCUGUUGGCAGCUAGAAAAUUAGAAAUUACAUAUGAAUUCCUCUCGUUACUGACCUAUCCGAAUUUUUUAAAUUAAUUUGGAAGGUUGAUGCAUGCAUCCACAAGGAAAUUGGCACUAACUUGAUUAACAACUUUUUUGCCCUACCCAGUCUAAAUGGAAUCCGGUUCUCGUCCUAGCUUUUUUUUUUGCCUUUUUUUUUGCUUCGGAUGGUACGUCGACUUAGUUAAUAUUUUGAGGAGCUUCUAAGCCAGGGCUGAGGCGCACUAUGUCUACGUCUGUAUACACUCUGCCCAUACCCAAGUCAAAUCACAUUGUAUAAACCUGCAAA